rnacentral:rRNA from 1 species
UACGAAGGGGGCUAGCGUUGCUCGGAAUUACUGGGCGUAAAGCGCACGUAGGCGGCUUUCUAAGUCGGGGGUGAAAUCCUGGAGCUCAACUCCAGAACUGCCUUCGAUACUGGAGAGCUCGAGUCCGGGAGAGGUGAGUGGAACUGCGAGUGUAGAGGUGAAAUUCGUAGAUAUUCGCAAGAACACCAGUGGCGAAGGCGGCUCACUGGCCCGGUACUGACGCUGAGGUGCGAAAGCAUGGGGAGCAAACAGG